UAGGGAAUCUUCGGCAAUGGACGGAAGUCUGACCGAGCAACGCCGCGUGAGUGAAGAAGGUUUUCGGAUCGUAAAGCUCUGUUGUUAGAGAAGAACGUUGGUAGGAGUGGAAAAUCUACCAAGUGACGGUAACUAACCAGAAAGGGACGGCUAACUACGUGCCAGCAGCCGCGGUAAUACGUAGGUCCCGAGCGUUGUCCGGAUUUAUUGGGCGUAAAGCGAGCGCAGGCGGUUCUUUAAGUCUGAAGUUAAAGGCAGUGGCUUAACCAUUGUACGCUUUGGAAACGGGGGGGCUUGAGUGCAGGAGGGGAGGGUGGAAUUCCAUGUGUAGCGGUGAAAUGCGUAGAUAUAUGGAGGAACACCGGUGGCGAAAGCGGCUCUCUGGACUGUAACUGACGCUGAGGCUCGAAAGCGUGGGGAGCAAACAGG
rnacentral:rRNA from 1 species